ensembl:lncRNA novel transcript
CAGCAGGGGGCAGUGUGUGUGUUCUGGGGAGACCAAUGCCUGCCUGGAUGCGGAGGGGGUUGAGGGGGCCUCCCGCUCCCUGGGAACAGCUGUUCAACUCUGCUAAGGCUGAUUCCUCUUUGAGACCACCCCAGUCCUUUCUCCACACAGGGCAGUUGUGAGGACUAUGGGGGUGGGGGGCCUGUUUGUGGAAGCCCUUUGUGAAUGACAAAGCCCUGUCCUCCAUGCCUUGCUAUUACCAUCGGGGCCAUGUGGCUUUGGACACAGAUGGGUGGGUUCCAGGGUCUAAUUCCCCAUGGUCUUCCCUGAAGAAACAUACACUCAGCCUCCUGUGAGAUCCCAGGCCCCUCCCUCACUGCCCUAACCCGGUCUGAUUUCCAGCUUGUAGAGAGUGCCUGAGAGGCCUGGAGGAGACUUGGGACCUGCUUUCACAACUGCAGAGCCUCCUAGGGCCACACCUUGAAAAAGGUGACUUUGGUCAGCUCUCCGGUCCAGACUCCCCAGGUGAGGUGGGCAAAAGAGCACCUGAUGGAGCCUCCCGGUCCUCUCAUGAGCCUAUAGAAGAUGCUGCUCCCAUUCUCUCCCUGUUAGCUUCCCCGGAUCCUUGAACCAAGCAUCCUCAGGAUCUGGCCUCCACCCCACCACCAGGCCCAAUGACCACCUCAGUCUCCUCCCUAAGUGCCUCCCAGCCACCAGAACCUUCCCUUCUCCUAGAACAUCCCUCACCCGAGCCACCUGCACUUUUCCCUCACCCACCACGCACUCCUGAUCCUCUGGCCUGCUCUCCGCCUCCUCCAAAAGGCUUCACUGCUCCUCCCCUGUGGGACUCCACUCUGAUAACUCCAUCUAACUGUGACUCAGUGGCACUUCCACUGGACACUGUCCCUCAAAGCUUGACUCCACGUGAGGAUUUGGCAGCUUCUGUCCCAGCCAUCUCAGGUCUUGGCGGCUCAAAUAGUCAAGUUUCUGCCUUCUCCUGGUGGCAGGAGACUACCAGAACCUGGUGCGUCUUCAAUUCGUCAGUCCAGCAAGAUCAUCUUUCCCGCCACCCACCAGAGACCUGUCAGAUGGAAGCUGGUAGACCAUUUUUGCUCAGCUCUGAUGGCCAGGAUGUCGUGGGGAUACAAGUCACAGAAAUCAACAUUUGAGAGGAAAAAGAAAAUGAUGGACGAUUUCCAAAACAGCCCACAAAAGCACUUGAAUGCUUUGGGGAAUUUGGUUAAAUCACUGGAUGCUGAGCAGGACACCACAAGCCCAAAACCCUUCUGGAACAUGGGAGAGAACUCAAAAUAGCUGCCCAGUCCUCAGAAGCUCUCAGAUCCUAGGCUCUUGCAGGAAAGUUUUCAGAAGAAUUAUAGCCAGCUUUUCUGGGGCCUCCCCUCUCUGCACAGUGAAUCUCUGGUGGCUAAUGCCUGGGUCACUGACUGUAUGUAAGGGUCUUACAUCCUUACAUCAAUGAAAUGUCCAAUGUCUGCCCAAUUCAAAGGGAGACUACAAUGUCCCCACUGCUUUUCCAGGCCCAGCCCCUGUCCCAUCUGGGGCCUGAGUCCCAACCCUUUAUUUCAUCCACACCCCAAUUCCGGCCCACACCUAUGGCUCAGGCCCAUCUUCAAUCCUCUUUCCCAGUCCUAUCUCCUGCUUUUCCAUCCCCGAUGAAGAACACUGGAGUAGCUUGCCCUGCGUCGCAGAAUAAAGUGCAAGCUCUCUCCCUACCUGAAA